rnacentral:rRNA from 1 species
GAUGAACGCUAGCGGCAGGCCUAACACAUGCAAGUCGAGGGGUAACAGGGGAGCUUGCUCCAGCUGACGACCGGCGCACGGGUGCGGAACGCGUAUGGAACCUACCUCAAUCUGGGGGAUAGCCCAGGGAAACUUGGAUUAACACCCCAUAGUAUUAUUGGAUUGCAUGAUUCAAUAAUUAAAGGUUACGGAUUGAGAUGGCCAUGCGUAUCAUUAGCUGGUUGGUAAGGUAACGGCUUACCAAGGCUACGAUGAUUAGGGGCCCUGAGAGGGGGAUCCCCCACACUGGUACUGAGACACGGACCAGACUCCUACGGGAGGCAGCAGUGAGGAAUAUUGGACAAUGGUCGGAAGACUGAUCCAGCCAUGCCGCGUGCAGGAUGACUGCCCUAUGGGUUGUAAACUGCUUUUGUACGAGAAGAACACCCUCUUCGUGAAGAGGACUGACGGUAUCGUACGAAUAAGGACCGGCUAACUCCGUGCCAGCCGCCGCCGUAACAC